CAACUCAUUUUGUUUAAUCAGCAUAACUAAAUUGUGGGUAUAAAUGAACAAACAUUUGAAGCCUAUAACUUAUAAUAAACGCAAACCCAAAAAUGACAUUUAAAUCCUGCAAGUGUUUUUCAUCAUCCCCAAAAGAAACAAGAAUAAUUAUAUACCAAUAAUUUUUCCACAAAAAAUACUGAUUUGAGUUGAAACACUAUACAAACUGGGUCUUUUACACUUGCAGAAAGCUACACGGUAGACAAAAUCUAGCAGCUACAUAAUGGUAUCACUUUCAGCUGGUCAUGAAUGGUGUGCAUUCAGCAGUGCUCGAUAGACCAUGUCUAUGAAUUGAUUGUCCUAUUACAUAUAAAAGCUGGUCAGAUAUACAAGGAAAAAAUUAAUAAUUGAAAAUG
rnacentral:lncRNA from 1 species